GAACGCUGGCGGCGUGCUUAACACAUGCAAGUCGAACGGUGAAGCCCUUCGGGGUGGAUCAGUGGCGAACGGGUGAGUAACACGUGGGCAAUCUGCCCUGCACUCUGGGACAAGCCCUGGAAACGGGGUCUAAUACCGGAUAUGACCUGGGACCGCAUGGUCCCGGGUGUAAAGCUCCGGCGGUGCAGGAUGAGCCCGCGGCCUAUCAGCUUGUUGGUGGGGUAAUGGCCUACCAAGGCGACGACGGGUAGCCGGCCUGAGAGGGCGACCGGCCACACUGGGACUGAGACACGGCCCAGACUCCUACGGGAGGCAGCAGUGGGGAAUAUUGCACAAUGGGCGAAAGCCUGAUGCAGCGACGCCGCGUGAGGGAUGACGGCCUUCGGGUUGUAAACCUCUUUCAGCAGGGAAGAAGCGCAAGUGACGGUACCUGCAGAAGAAGCACCGGCUAACUACGUGCCAGCAGCCGCGGUAAUACGUAGGGUGCGAGCGUUGUCCGGAAUUAUUGGGCGUAAAGAGCUCGUAGGCGG
rnacentral:rRNA from 1 species